rnacentral:lncRNA from 7 species
GGAGUAUGCAAAUCCUGAUCCUUGGGGCAGUAGUAUCUCUGUUUUGAGGUCUUCACCGCUUUCUAGGGAGUAGCACAAUCUAGAGGGUUUGCCAGGUGUGAAAAGAAGGAUGUACAAGAAGAGAUGAGACCUUUGCAGGAAGAUACAUUGCUGCAGAUUUUGAAAAAGGAGUGGAAGCUUUAGAGUAGAAAAGAAAAGGAAGGGAAGCAAAAAAAAGACUGGGACUUUGUCUGAAGAUACUUCACCCAAAGUUUCAUUAACAGUGAAAAGGAAUUUAUCUUUCAAAAUAUUCGGGCAUCUGUUAAAGUGUUACCUGUGCUCUAUGGUCCCACCGCAUUACCACUGAAGACUAAUCAUUCUUUUUGAACUCUGAUUUCUGCUUUUUUCUGAGUGGAGAUACCAUUAGCUCAGCAAAAACAAGCAAACAAACAACAACAACAAAAAAACCCCAACCAAACCAAUGUCCCUUUGGAGAUGAUUUAACUCAGCUAGAAGCAGUCCAUUUCCCCAAUCCAGUUAUGUCUGGAACUCAUCAGGAACCAGUUGUGAGUCGGUGGUGGUGAUGUGAGCUCAUGUCUUGAGUGAGAUGAAUCAAGACCAUGAAACUUAUAGCUUACUUUCUGACAGCUUUUUAUGACACCUAGCUUUACACCUAAAAUGGUGUAGGAAAAAGCUGCACAACCUUAUUCAGCCAGUCUAUCAGUAAAAACAUGUUUAUGCAGCAAGACCUGCAAGAAAACAUACUGCAAGCAUUCAACAAGAGGAACUCAAGACCUUUAUAGAAAAUUAAGGAACAGGAAACUCAGAACUUCUAUUUUACCACGAUAAUAAUAAUAAUUGUGCUCUGUACAUUUGAGGUUAUGAAAGAGGAAAAAUAUCAGAUUCAAUUGAAACAUUGCAUCUUGAAACACGGUGCUACUAAAAAGGAAUUUUAUAACAUAAUUACAUUCCCAUUAAUAUGUUAAUCUCUUAUACACAGACAUAGAGAAGCAAAUACAUUACUU